rnacentral:lncRNA from 1 species
AUGUGUGGAAGCCACACUAGCCCCCCUCAGGGAGGAGGGCAUCCGGAUCCUCGAUUACCUAGACAACUAGGCUCUAGUAGCGAGUUCCUGAACACAGGCAGAAGCUCACACUGUAUGGGUACUUUCCCACGUUCAACACCUGGGGUUUUCCGUGAACUACAGAAAGAAUUCUCUAGUUCCGAGUCAGAGUUUCUCCUUCCUCGGGCUGGAAAUUUGCUCUUGGUCAAGCAGAGCGCAUCUUUCGGACCAGCGAAUAGCCACGCUACGCAGUUGUUUAGCGCGCUUUCAGCUGGGAGCCAGACUGACACUCCACACAGCUCUACAGCUGCUGGGGAUGAUGGCUUCCUCCAUAGCUGUGAUGCCUCUCGGACUGUUAAAAAUGCGACAUUUCCAGUAUUGGGUCCGCUCUCACCAUCUCCAUCCUUCACGUCAUCUCCGCCGGAGGUUGACGGUCACCAGAGCCUGCAUGGUAGCUCUCCUCCCAUGGAGAGAACCAGGGCUGUUCUACCAGGAUUCCCUCAGAAGCUGGGAGGGGCUCUGUGUGGGGGUUUAGCGGUGAGGUUUAGCGGUGAGGGGGGUAUGGUCCUCGACCCAGUCAAGGUUCCAUAUCAACUUUCUGGAACUGUUAACCGUGUUUCUGGCCCUGAAACACUUCAGUCACCACCUGAGAGGACAACAUGUACUGGUGCGCACAGACUACACAACUGUGGUGUCAUAUGUAAACAGACAGGGAGGAACACACUCCCUUCCUCUACUGAAUUUGACCCACACAUUGCUGCACUGGUGCUAUCUGAAUCUCCUGUCUCUCAGAGCAGCUUAUGUCCCCGGGUACCUCAACCACAGUGUGGACUUGCUCUCCAGGGGCGGACCUCUGUCAAAGGAAUAGACGUUCCACCCCGAAGUGGUAUCCCAGAAUUGGCUGAGGUUAGGCAGGGCAGUAGUGGAUCUGUUUGCGUCAAGCGCAAACACACACCAAUGGGAUCAGAUGCUCUGGCGCACCCUUGA